AUGACUCUUUUUUUUUUUUUUUUUUAGUAAGCAUUCUCUUUUCCAAUUUAUUCUCAUGCCAAAGGAACUUCUGUAAGGGAGGCAACAGUAAGGCUGAGGGACUUGAAUCUUAAUAGACUCCUGUCUAUUAAUUUUAGAUUUAGUUCUAUGCAUAGUUUCUUAAUGUAUGCUAUUGGUUCAGCAUCUUCAUUUUAAAAAUUUAAAUGUGGUACCACUUUGUCUUGAUCCUGUAAGUUUUGACGUCUUUUUUUUUUUUUUUUGCUUUUAUUUAUCCCCAUAUAUUUCCUAAGUUAUUUUAUGAUUUCUUCUUUGAUUCUUAAAUAGUUUACAAAAAACGUUUUAGUCUGUAUCUGUGCAGUAACUGAUGGGAAACUAAUAGAACUCCUUAGUAUAUGAGAAUUGUUUUCUUGUAUUGCUGUCAGGAUUCUCUCCCUCGUGACUUUUUUUUUUAUGAGAUUGGGAAUUGAACUCAUUGCCCCCUGGAUGGGCCUAUGGCUUAUCCAUGGCGUUGGCAGUUUGAUUAUGUAUCUUAGUACAGGUUCCUUAGGUUUGUGCUUGCUUGACUGUGAACUUCUUAAAUUUGUCAAUUUCUCUCCUCAUAUUUGGAAAGUUCUUCCUAUUUUUAUCUUCUCCUUUAGACAUUGUGUAACAUUCUGUUUGACUGAUGAUAGCCUGUGAGUCAAGUUCUUUUAAUUUUUCUUAAUUCUUUCUUUGGUGGUUCCUUUGUCAUUGUCAUUUCUUUCUUCAUAGUUACUAUUUUUUCUUGUGAUUGGCCAAGUUGAGUCUUCAUAUAUUUUAAGUUAUUCUUCAGUUUUAGUAACAAUGUUUGAGUCUUUUCAUUUAUUUUCUGUUUAUCUCAUUUUGUUUACUAUUUUGCUGAUUUUCUGGUUUUGUUGUGUAUCUGGACAGUUCCCUGAGCUGCUUCUUACCUCCAUCUCUCCCUUUCCUUUAUCUUCUUGUUACCAUUAUUUUUUCCUUUUCUCUUUCUCUCCUGUCUUCUCCUGUCCCCUCCCCUCCUUUCCCUCCACUCUUCUCCCCUCCCCUCAACAUCUUCUCUAAGCCUAGUCUAAACUUUAUUUAUAGCAGUCCUUCUGCCUUAAUUUCUCAAGUUCUAGGAUUACAGAUGGGAGCACCCACAGCCCAUGGAGAUUUAAGUCUAUCCCUUGGAAGGUUUUGUGUGUGUGUGUGUGUGUGUGUGUGUGUGUGUGUGUGUGUGUGCUUCCCCUUUUAUUUAUUUGUGUUGCUUUCUCUCAGGGUUAGCUCUUCUUAACAGUCUGGUUCUAGUCUGGGUGGUUUCUGCAGCUAGUUAGUCCAUUCAGAGAGUCACGAGACUUUGCAAGCCAUUUCUAGGGGUGUAGCGUCUCUGGGCUUGUUCAUGGAAGAGCAUUGUCUGUAUCUUUAUUUAGGGAACAGUCUGGGCAACUCCUCUGCCCUACUGUGUCCUCUCACACACACUGUAAUAAGCCAUGGUACUAGAGCUCCACCUAAUGUCUAUCCUUAGAACUACAGACUCUGGGUGCUGGACUAAAUCAUUUUGAUUUCCUUUGUUCUCAGUUCAGCUACUGUUGCCAGUGCUAGAUUCAAGAAAGACAGCAAACAGUCCCUGUGGUAGCACUUCUACUUUCCCUUUGAAGGGAAAACUCUGGGAAAGAAGUUGCAUUUCCUCCCGUCCUGCCUUGCAGAGAGGGCUCCUGGGCGUGGAUGUGGUUUUGUAUUUUUCACUCAAGAGACAGGACCUCUUAAGCAGUCUCUGGAUUUCUUACAAGGACGAGUGAUUCAUUUAUUACAGUUUAGUCUGUGUUUCAGUAGGGAAGGGGGUUUGGGGUUUCCUAAACUUCAGUCUUGUUGACAUUAAACUAUGUGUUCUGAUUUUUAAGGUUUAAUUCUUUGAACUUGAUAGGUUAGAUUCUCACCUCUUUUUCUCUUAUAUCCAUUUGGGAGUAGAUAGAAGGUAGGGUGGUGGUGGUGGCAACCAUUUGUUAAGAAGGUGCAGGAAUGUGGUUAACUUGUUGAAAAUGUUUUGAGAUGCUGUCCAUCUCCAGUUAUCAGUGCAGUUUAGCAAAAACUCCUAAGGCAAAUUUCAAAAUCUAAAUUAUGUAGACACUGACUUCAGGUUGACUUAAUAUUGAAAAUAUUUUCAUUUUGAUGUAUGUUUUAGAGUUAUAAACUUGAUGAGAAAGUUUUUUUUCCCUAUGUGCUUGUUAUAGGUUUGCAACCUUUAUGCCAAUAGUCACAUGCAUUGAGACGCCUUUCUAAGUUAUUGAUAGAAAAUUACCUUCCUUUGAAUUAAUAUGUCUCACAUUUUAAAGUAAUUAGAGAAUGAUUUUAGUGAUUAUGAUCUUUGUGCUAACUAUUCUGAGGACCUGUAUAGGUUAUUACUUCUCUCUUUGCUGUGAUAAAAUACCUGAGAACAAAGCUUGAAGAGGACAGAGAUUAGAGUGGAGGGUCCAGUUCAUUUGAUUACAACAGACAAUAAUUACCUUGUAAACAAUGGACCACCAAAAUGGUAGCUGCAGCUACAUGAAAAUGUUCCCAGUUGGGAGAUGUUAGUUAAAUCCAGGACAAAAUGGGGGUAACUCUGGGCAGUUCAGAGGGGAAGACAGGUGUGAGAGUGGCUCUAACUGUGGGACCAGGCCAUACUGCAAGCUGAUUGAUCAUAUUACAUGUGCAUUCAGGAAGCAUAGUGCUGGUGAUGUCCUUGUUUUCUCCUAGUGUAUUUACUUUACAUAAGCUGCUCACAGUCAGGGUAGCUUUUUUCCAUUUUUGUUAAACUGUUCUUGAAACAUCCUCACAGAUACAUCCACAAAUUUUGUCUUCUAGGUUAUUCUACAUUUCAUUAGAUUGACAAUCCCAUCACAGUAUGCAUUUUACAAAUAGUUUAUUGCUAUAAACAUCGUAAGCCGGGCGUGGUAGUGCACGCCUUUAAUUCUAACACUGGGGAGGCAGAGGCAGAGGCAGGCAGAUUUCUGAGUUCAAGGUCAGCCUGGUAUACAAAGUGAGUUCCAGGACAGCCAGGGCUAUACAGAGAAACCAUGUCUCAAAAACC
rnacentral:lncRNA from 1 species